rnacentral:rRNA from 1 species
GUAAACCUCUGUCAAGUGGGAAGAAUAAUGACGGUWCCACUAAAGGAAGCCCCGGCUAACUCCGUGCCAGCAGCCGCGGUAAUACGGAGGGGGCAAGCGUUGUUCGGAAUUAUUGGGCGUAAAGAGUAUGUAGGCGGCUGGAUAAGUCAGGCGUGCAAGCCCAGGGCUCAACCCUGGAAUUGCGUUUGAAACUGUUCGGCUUGAGUACAGGAGAGGAAGGCGGAAUUCCCAGUGUAGCGGUGAAAUGCAUUGAUAUUGGGAAGAACACCGGUGGCGAAGGCGGCCUUCUGGUCUGUUACUGACGCUGAGAUACGAAAGCCAGGGGAGCAAAGGGGAUUAGAUACCCCCGUAGUCCUGGCCGUAAACGAUGGGCACUAGGUGGAGGAGGUAUCGAUCCCUUCUCUGUCGUAGCUAACGCAUUAAGUGCCCCGCCUGGGGAGUACCGUCGC